rnacentral:rRNA from 1 species
UACAGAGGGUGCUAGCGUUAAUCGGAAUUACUGGGCGUAAAGGGCGCGUAGGCGGUUGUUUAAGUUUGAUGUGAAAGCCCCGGGCUUAACCUGGGAACUGCAUUGAAUACUGGGCGACUAGAGUACUGUAGAGGGUAGUGGAAUUUCCGGUGUAGCGGUGAAAUGCGUAGAGAUCGGAAGGAACACCAGUGGCGAAGGCGGCUACCUGGACAGAUACUGACGCUGAGGCGCGAGAGCGUGGGGAGCAAACAGG